UACGUAGGGCGCAAGCGUUUAUCCGGAAUUAUUGGGCGUAAAGAGCUCGUAGGCGGUUUGUCGCGUCUGCCGUGAAAGUCCGGGGCUCAACCUAGGAAGUGCAUUCGAAACUGCGAGGCUGGAGUCCUGGAGAGGAAGGCGGAAUUCUCGGUGUAGAGGUGAAAUUCGUAGAUAUCGAGAGGAACACCGGUGGCGAAGGCGGCCUUCUGGACAGUGACUGACGUGAGAACGCGGAAAGCGUGGGGAGCAAACAGG
rnacentral:rRNA from 1 species